rnacentral:rRNA from 1 species
UUGACCUCAAUCAGUGGACUACCGCUG